rnacentral:rRNA from 1 species
UACGAAGGGGGCUAGCGUUGUUCGGAAUUACUGGGCGUAAAGCGUGCGCAGGCGGCUCAUCAAGUCAGAGGUGAAAGCCCAGGGCUCAACCCUGGAACUGCCUUUGAAACUGUUGGGCUUGAGUACGGGAGAGGUGAGUGGAAUUCUGAGUGUAGAGGUGAAAUUCGUAGAUAUUCGGAAGAACACCUGUGGCGAAAGCGGCUCACUGGACCAUAACUGACGCUGAUGCACGAAAGCGUGGGUAGCAAACAGG